ensembl:lncRNA
GCUUGACCUGACUGCACAUCUUGCCUCAGCAUUAGUGAACACUGUGGAGGAAUCAUUACGUUACUGAUCACUGAGUGUGAAUUCGAGGAAGAACUUAAGCAGCCAAGUUACACUACAAGAUACCUGGACACCUGGACACAAACACUUUCCUAAAGCUGAUCUGCUACAGAGAAAAUUACUGUUACUAUAUGAAUCUGAAGCAGCUGCAAUGGGAAGAAAAAUGUUGAAAACGCAGCAUGCAAAACUCAUCAAGUAUGGUCGGGUUCAUCCAUAUGAAAGGCCAUUAGCAAACAUGUGGCAACUUUCCUUCAUCUAAGAGGAAGCCUUGGGAGGUCCAAGACAUGGCAGGGCAGGACAGAAGAUCAGUCAUCAUGGUCAAAAUGUUCUGCUGCUUUGUAAAAAAGAUAGAAUUUGCCCCAGAUUCUGUCCUUUAUUUUCUUCUUACUGGAGCUUCUCACUAUUGCCUUUGUGAGCAGCAUUUUGGAGAGUGAAUGUUAAGGCAUGGCAAAG